UAAAAUUAAAAAAUUUGGCGGUAUUUUAGUCUUUUCAGAGGAACCUGUUCUAUAAUUGAUAAUCCACGAUUAAUUGUACUUACUUUAAAAAUUUAUAUAUCGUCGUAGUUUGAAUGUUUUAUAAGAAUAAUAAAUGUUCAUGAUUUAAAAUUUUAAAAAAAAUCAGAUCAAGGUGUAGUUUAUAAGUGAGAAGAAAUGGGUUACAUUUAAUUUAUUAAUGGAAAAUUUUAUGAAAAUGAAAUUUGAAAUUGGAUUUGAAAGUAAAUUUAAAAAUUUUUUUAAGUUGAUUUAAGCUCUAAAAUAUGUACAUAUUGCCCGUCACUUUCGUUUUAAAAUGAGAUAAGUCGUAACAAAGUAGAUUUACUGGAAAGUGAAUCUAGAAG
rnacentral:rRNA from 1 species